UUGUCUCAAAGAUUAAGCCAUGCAUGUCUCAGUACAAGCCACAUUAAGGUGAAACCGCGAAAGGCUCAUUAAAUCAGUUAUGGUUCCUUAGAUCGUACCCACACUUACUUGGAUAACUGUGGUAAUUCUAGAGCUAAUACAUGCAAACAGAGCUCCGACCGGAGACGGGAGGAGUGCUUUUAUUAGAUCAAAACCAAUCGGCGGCGGGCGCGCUCGCGCGUCCGUUCGCCGCUCAACCUGGUGACUCUGAAUAACUUUCCGCUGAUCGCACGGUCUCGCACCGGCGACGCAUCUUUCAAAUGUCUGCCUUAUCAACUGUCGAUGGUAGGUUCUGCGCCUACCAUGGUCGUAACGGGUAACGGGGAAUCAGGGUUCGAUUCCGGAGAGGGAGCCUGAGAAACGGCUACCACAUCCAAGGAAGGCAGCAGGCGCGCAAAUUACCCACUCCCGGCACGGGGAGGUAGUGACGAAAAAUAACGAUACGGGACUCAUCCGAGGCCCCGUAAUCGGAAUGAGUACACUUUAAAUCCUUUAACGAGGACCCAUUGGAGGGCAAGUCUGGUGCCAGCAGCCGCGGUAAUUCCAGCUCCAAUAGCGUA
rnacentral:rRNA from 1 species